rnacentral:rRNA from 1 species
CCUACGGGAGGCAGCAGUGAGGAAUAUUGGUCAAUGGACGAGAGUCUGAACCAGCCAAGUAGCGUGAAGGAUGACUGCCCUAUGGGUUGUAAACUUCUUUUAUAUGGGAAUAAAAUGUUCCACGUGUGGGAUUUUGUAUGUACCAUAUGAAUAAGGAUCGGCUAACUCCGUGCCAGCAGCCGCGGUAAUACGGAGGAUCCGAGCGUUGUCCGGAUUUAUUGGGUUUAAAGGGAGCGUAGGUGGAUUGUUAAGUCAGUUGUGAAAGUUUGCGGCUCAACCGUAAAAUUGCAGUUGAAACUGGCAGUCUUGAGUACAGUAGAGGUGGGCGGAAUUCGUGGUGUAGCGGUGAAAUGCUUAGAUAUCACGAAGAACUCCGAUUGCGAAGGCAGUUCACUGGACUGCAACUGACACUGAGGCUCGAAAGUGUGGGUAUCAAACAGGAUUAGAUACCCGUGUAGUC